UGGGGAAUUUUGGACAAUGGGCGCAAGCCUGAUCCAGCCAUGCCGCGUGCGGGAAGAAGGCCUUCGGGUUGUAAACCGCUUUUGUCAGGGAAGAAAUCUUCUGAGUUAAUACCUCGGGAGGAUGACGGUACCUGAAGAAUAAGCACCGGCUAACUACGUGCCAGCAGCCGCGGUAAUACGUAGGGUGCAAGCGUUAAUCGGAAUUACUGGGCGUAAAGCGUGCGCAGGCGGUUUUGUAAGACAGAGGUGAAAUCCCCGGGCUCAACCUGGGAACUGCCUUUGUGACUGCAAGGCUUGAGUGCGGCAGAGGGGGGAUGGAAUUCCGCGUGUAGCAGUGAAAUGCGUAGAUAUGCGGAGGAACACCGAUGGCGAAGGCAAUCCCCUGGGCCUGCACUGACGCUCAUGCACGAAAGCGUGGGGAGCAAAACAGGAUUAGAUACCCUGGUAGUCCACGCCCUAAACGAUGUCAACUGGUUGUUGGGAAGGUUCCUUCUCAGUAACGUAGCUAACGCGUGAANUUGACCGCCUGGGGAGUACGGCCGCAAGGUUGAAACGCAAAGGAAUUGACGGGG
rnacentral:rRNA from 1 species